AAGAAUAAAAAUUACAUUUAAAAAAAAAACUAAAAUGUGGAAAGAAUAAAAAUAAUAUUCUACACAUACCAUCCACUCAUUUAUUGUUUUUCCAAAUAUAUUUCAUUUUCCUACUCCGUUUCUUGUUUUCAAAAA
rnacentral:ribozyme from 14 species